UACAGAGGGUGCAAGCGUUAAUCGGAGUUACUGGGCGUAAAGGGCGCGUAGGCGGCUGUUUAAGUUAGAUGUGAAAUCCCUGGGCUUAACCUAGGAACUGCAUCUGAUACUGGAUGACUAGAGUACUGUAGAGGGUAGUGGAAUUUCCGGUGUAGCGGUGAAAUGCGUAGAGAUCGGAAGGAACACCAGUGGCGAAGGCGGCUACCUGGACAGAUACUGACGCUGAGGAGCGAAAGCGUGGGGAGCAAACAGG
rnacentral:rRNA from 1 species